rnacentral:rRNA from 1 species
UACGAAGGGGGCUAGCGUUGCUCGGAAUCACUGGGCGUAAAGGGUGCGUAGGCGGGUUUUUAAGUCAGAGGUGAAAUCCUGGAGCUCAACUCCAGAACUGCCUUUGAUACUGGGAAUCUUGAGUAUGGAAGAGGUGAGUGGAACUGCGAGUGUAGAGGUGAAAUUCGUAGAUAUUCGCAAGAACACCAAUGGCGAAGGCGGCUCACUGGUCCAUAACUGACGCUGAGGCACGAAAGCGUGGGGAGCAAACAGG